AGGGGUAGCGCCGGAUCCUGGGCUGUGUCCCCCAGCGCCCUGGGCUCCGGGGCCUGUGCCGCUGGAAUCAGGCUCCGGACCGCGCAGGCCCCU
rnacentral:pre_miRNA from 1 species